CACAUCAGCUCGAGUGAGGAUACGCGCUAAACUUAAACAUAUCAGUCGGCGCAGCAAUAAAAACUAACCAGGAUUCCCUUAGUAACGGCGAGUGAAGUGGGAAAUAUACUCGUUCAGCCCAACGAUAAAAUCCAUUCUUAGCUGGCUAGGCUUCUGUCUUCCAGCUGGAAGGAAUUGUAGCAUCGUAAAAAAAUACACAACACACACACAUACACUGUGUAAAAUAUAUAUAUCAAAUGUUGUAUCUAAACUUAACGUGAAAAAAUACUACAUCAUUGCACACAUACUUACCCAAACACACAGCGUUUAGCGCUGGAAAGCAAGUCUACUACAUGCCAUAGAGUGUGACAGCCACGUUUGCCUUUGGUAAACUACUUUUGACACGCAAUGUAUUGUAUGAUUUUACAAGAUACGUAAUUCAUUCGAUUCUCUAAAACAAAAACUUUUAACCCUGAGUCGAGUUGUUUGGGACUACAGCUCAAAUUGUUUGGUGGUGGUAAUGACACAUCAAAGGCUAAAUAUUGGUGUUUAAUACGAUUGCAACGGAGACCGAUAGCAAACAAGUACCGUAAGGGAACGAUGAAAAGCACCCUUUUUAGCACGUGCGUCACUCUGUGUACGCACAAGCUCCAUCGGGAGUGAAAGAGAGAGU
rnacentral:rRNA from 1 species